rnacentral:rRNA from 1 species
UUAAGUCGACCGCCUGGGGAGUACGGCCGCAAGGUUAAAACUCAAAUGAAUUGACGGGGGCCCGCACAAGCGGUGGAGCAUGUGGUUUAAUUCGAUGCAACGCGAAGAACCUUACCUGGUCUUGACAUCCACGGAAGUUUUCAGAGAUGAGAAUGUGCCUUCGGGAACCGUGAGACAGGUGCUGCAUGGCUGUCGUCAGCUCGUGUUGUGAAAUGUUGGGUUAAGUCCCGCAACGAGCGCAACCCUUAUCCUUUGUUGCCAGCGGUCCGGCCGGGAACUCAAAGGAGACUGCCAGUGAUAAACUGGAGGAAGGUGGGGAUGACGUCAAGUCAUCAUGGCCCUUACGACCAGGGCUACACACGUGCUACAAUGGCGCAUACAAAGAGAAGCGACCUCGCGAGAGCAAGCGGACCUCAUAAAGU